UCCCUGGUGGUCCAGUGGAUAAGACUGCACGCUCCCAAUGCAGGAGGCCCAGGUUCCAUCCCUGGUCAGGGAA
rnacentral:tRNA from 1 species